AUACGUAGGAGGCGAGCGUUGUCCGGAUUUACUGGGCGUAAAGGGCGAGUAGGCGGCCCGGCAAGUCUCAUGUGAAAUCUUCCGGCUCAACUGGAAGGGGUCAUGGGAAACUGCCAGGCUUGAGGGCAGCAGAGGAAAGUGGAAUUCCCGGAGUAGUGGUGAAAUGCGUAGAUACCGGGAGGAACACCAGUGGCGGAGGCGGCUUUCUGGGCUGUUCCUGACGCUGAGGCGCGAAAGCAUGGGGAGCAAACCGGAUUAGAAACCCGAGUAGUCC
rnacentral:rRNA from 1 species